rnacentral:rRNA from 1 species
UACAGAGGUGGCAAGCGUUGUUCGGAAUUACUGGGCGUAAAGGGCGCGUAGGCGGCCUUGCAAGUCCCGCGUGAAAGCCCCCGGCUCAACUGGGGAACUGCACGGGAAACUGCGAGGCUUGAGUUCGGGAGAGGGAAGCGGAAUUCCGGGUGUAGCGGUGAAAUGCGUAGAUAUCCGGAGGAACACCAGUGGCGAAGGCGGCUUCCUGGACCGAUACUGACGCUGAGGCGCGAAAGCUAGGGGAGCAAACGGGAUUAGAUACCCCGGUAGUCCUAGCUGUAAACGAUGAGUGCUGGGUGUAGGGGGUUUUAACCCCCCCUGUGCCGAAGCUAACGCAUUAAGCACUCCGCCUGGGGAGUACGGUCGCAAGGCUGAA